ensembl:lncRNA
UGUCCGAAUGCUUAGCUAUGUGACACUGGGUGAGAUGCUUAACCUCUUUCAACUGAAGUUUCUUUAUCUAAAAAAUAAGAAUAUGUCUGCUUCAAAAGGCUGCUCUGAGGAUGAACUAUUAUAGUGAAAGUGAACCCCUCAGCAUGGAGCAUUUGUUCCAAGACUAGUCCCCCAUAUUCUCAAAACAUUAGCCUAAAAUUAUAUUCUAGGCUCUGGUACUAGGUAUUUGGGGCUAUAUGUAUUCUCUUCUCAGAAAUGUCAUGUGACAAUGGAACUGGGAAGUUGAGAAGGAUGGGGGCAGCUGUGCGGUGUAUUGCUAAAAGAGAGGCAUUUUAGAACAUCACAGCUGUAGAUACUUACUGUUCCCACCCCACCCACUGCAUCCCUUCCCUUCUUCUCAUAUUGGUACCAUGGGAAUCACUCUCUCUUCCAUUCUCAGUCCGUGCACUUUGAAUGUAGUUGACUGAAUACCGAACUCCAUGGAAGGACUCAGCCUGGAAAACCAAGCAUCUCAUCAGAUCUGAAGAGAUACACUCUGGAAAGCUUUGCUGCAGCUGUGAGAGGAAGCAUGUGCUCUUUUCCACUGAAAUUGAACCUUGAAACUUGCAGCUACUGAGAGCCAUUUUGCUAGCGUGGGAGUGUAAGAAAUAACACAGUGCGCUGGGAACAGAGUUGAGAGAUGGAGAGACACAGUGUCCUGGUUGUAUCGCGUUAGUCCAUGGAUCCAGCCUCACUAAGCCAUGUACGACCCCGUCUUAGUCAGGGCUGCUAGAACAAAGUACCAGAGACCGAGUAGCUUAUAAACAACAGAAAUUUAUUUCUCGUGGCUCUGGAGGCCGGAAGUCUGAGAUCAGAGCGCCGGCAUGGUUGGGUUCUGGACUGGACAGAACCAAGACUACCACCGCCAUUUUGCAAGCUGCCUCAUUCACAAGCAUCAAUGACAGAAAGUCAGGCACAGAGAGAAGAGCCGCAGUGCCCCCUGUUCAGCGUGUGACACCUGCACCCACAGUGCUCCUAGAGUCGCCCUCACCACUUGCUUGUCCUCUUGGACACAACCACUUAAUAACCGAAGGCCAUAUUCUGGAGAUUGCUGGCAGAUUCUUUUUCUCUGAAGCCUUUAGUAAGACUGGUAAAACGCAAUUCAUAAAACGGACUGGUGUCGGUUCCCUUUUCUCUCAUCCUUGUAAAAGCGCUGAUGGAGGGGCCAGUGCAAAGGAACAGCAGGCUGCAGGAGAAGGAAGGGAGGCCGUGGGGCCCGCACCAGCUCAUCGCAGAUCUGAGAAGGAACGCCAGGCGGGGAAAUCCAUCCUACAGAACACAGUCUACACAGGCCUGGAGAGUCCUUUUCAGUCAGGACUUUCAAGGGCUGCUCUGAGUCCUACCUGCGAGUUGGAUAACGUCCAGGUGUCCGUGCAAUCCGCAUUCCUCAGCCCGGCACUCAAGGCUCUCCAUCAUCUGACCCCAAGCUAGCUCUCCAGUGCCCUCCCCCGCCCCCCUUUCCCAUAGUAACCAACUACCUUCCUCAGACCCACCCCCUCCCAGCUCUCAACCACGUCCGGGAGGGCUCCCACAGCUGUGACUUUGACCUUUCCACCUGACAAACUUCUUACCUCCUUUCCCCUUUCCUAAUUUCAACAGGGAUCAAAUCCAUUCUCUCUCGUCUCGUGACGCUGUCCCCGACCUCCUCAGUCAAAAGCGGCUUGUCUUUCCUCCCAACACUUUCGCUCACGGUGCUCUCUCUUCUCACGGCGCUUCCACACUUCCUUGCACGAUUACCUGUCGCUUAGUGCGCCUUCCAUUUCCGCGAUGAGGUUGUUUACUCCUUGAGGUCAAGCGUGACUCUACCUUAUGUUUCGUAAUCAACCCGGUAGUUCCUGGCACAGUGAUCUGUGCAGAGUAAAUGUUAAAAAAAAUAGUUUGCACUUGAGGAUUGAGGCUGAGUAACACGUCCCCUGCACGUGUCUUUGCUCACAAUCUCUCUGGAGAACGGAGUUCGUAACUGGGCGUCAGAUCCGGGAGAGGCAGACAGGUGGAUGUCGGGGAAAGAAAGACAAAUGGCUAAAUGUUAAGCGGGAGGGGCUGAAGGGAGGGGCCAGGUCAGCAGAGCUGAAAGGAAGCACGUGGGACAGCAGACGCCGCGUCUGCGCAGAAGCUCGGCUCCCAGGACGCCCAGGAAGCGCGCCUCCCACGCCCCACCGCACGGGCCGCCCAGGCGCACAGGUGGGAGCUCGCUCGGUCGGGUUCCCCCGCCACUGACGCAGCAGCUCCCGGCAGCCGGAAAGGGUCCACCCCGCGAGGAGGACAGCUCAGCACGUCCGCGGGAAGGCCUGAGGCAGCCUCGGGGGCCGCACGCCUCGAAGGGCCGGCGCGGGCCUGCGCAGAGGGCGGACGGAGCGGCGCUCGGGACCCGGCGUGUGGCUCGGGGAGGCCACUCGGCACCUUGGGGGCUCGCUUCCCGCAGCCUGGCUGAUAGGAGUUGUUUGAUAUGUGGAAUUCUUAUCCUCUGCACUAAACUGUUACUUCCUUGAGAGAAGAGACUACAUUCUUUAAGGAGUGUCCAAAUAAGAUCAGUGUCACGAGGCACGGAAGGACAUCAUUUUGUUGUUUAGAUUCAGCACAACUUAGGGUUGCUUCUCCUGUCCCCCAGUCGCUAAUAGUGUCCAGCACAGAGCUUGGCACGGCAAAGAUGCCUAAUAAAUUCAUGCUAAAUGGAAUUGAAAACCCUUUGCCUUGUUUAGGUCAUGAUGCCAGAAUGAAAAACAUUCAAAUGAUAUUCAAUCAAGAAUUUUCGUCUGAAAAGUCAAAGUAUUGCCCAACGAACUUGAUGUAUGGGGAGAACAAGUGCAACUGAAAAGAACACAGAGCUAGCCAGGACGAAGUGGAAAAGUACCAGGCUGGUCAAGAACCAUUUCCCAGUGCUCUGUGUCCUGCACUGACCAAAGAAUUUGUUCAAUCCAAUCAAGGAAGUCCUUCGGUUGAAUGCCAGUGAGCUCCUCUCCACCUCAGGGAGGCAAAGGCUGAGCUUGCUGUCUCAGAAGAAGCCCAUAUCUGCAUAUUUUAAAUUUUCUCUUAGGAUGGCUGGCACAGAACAAUUAUCAUUUCCACUAUCUCUUGUUUGGAGGAGGUAUUUUCAUGCUAAGUCAGAGAUUAAGUAUAACAUUUAAUUUAAUUUUCAGUUUUCCAUUUCCUUUACAGCUUUGAAACAGAAAUUACUUUUAUUAAAGUAUGAAUUGAAAGUCAAAACAAAAUGUGGUGGCAGAAUUUCAAGUGCAUAACAAAAAAGAGAGUCAAAAGGUAAGGAAUUCAUUUCCACAUCUGAGGAUUCAAGCAAGUUGCCAGUAAACUAAAAUGUAACUAAUAAUAAUUCAAUGAAUAAUUUUAAGGGUGUCCAGCAAUUUUCUGUCAAUAAAGGUGGAGCAUACAGAGAAAAUUCUUUAUUUUUAUUAUACAGUGAAUAUAUGCCCCUCAGAGAAAAAAUAGGAAAUAUAGAUGCAGAUAAAGAAAAAAAAGAGAAGAAAUAUUUUUAAAUCAUCCAAGAGCCCCCCACGGAGACGAGAAGAGCAACUGUCGCCAUCUGGAGGUAAACCAAUUGAGAGUAUAUCAGCUGUCAACAAGAUGAUGAGUUGGAUCCUGCCUGACCUCCCACAGCUGAGGCUGAGGCCAGUUGAGGGUAAAGGCAGUCAUGACUUCACACUCUAGCCGUCAGGUCUGGGGCCAGCCUUCCUCCUGCGGCCCCACUGGGAAGUCCGGUGCAGCCCUGGCACCAAGUUCACUCUCUCCCCACCCACGCUUUACAGAAGAUGAAGAGGAAAGGCAAGAGGAGGCUUCUUCCUCUCCCACGUGGAAGAAGAGGAGGGUGUUUUCUCCUGCCUGAAGCCCAGUGAGGGGAACUCCAAAAGAAUCCUCCCUAAGUGUUGGAGGUGACUGUAAGGUGGGACACCAGCAACUUAUUCUCAGCUAGGUGCUGGCUCAGGGACAGACUCAUGUAUGUGCUUCCUAUAUGGGAACAGACCAUGCUGAGGGUCCUUUCCUUGGGAAAGCACUUGGGGAUCUGAGAAUCUAGGAAUGUAGCAGUUAGAUUUUAGCAACUUUUUCCAUCUAUGGGGGAAAGAGGGUUUGCUUGCCAUAUGUCCCUUGAGGUUUGGGGGUACACUUAGCUUGGAGAGUUCUGAAAGUAGGAGACUAUCUUUGAAAGGAUGUAUCAAUGGUGCUGGAUAUAAAGUACUUGGAAAGAAGAGUGGUCCAACCCCCACUCCAUUCUUGUUUUCUCCGUGUCUUGUAGGGCACAAAAAGACACUGGUAGUUUUUCUGGCUCCACAUAAAAAAGCAUGGGAAUUAUGAGACAGGAGCCUUGAGCCUGUCCAAAUGUGUUUUUUGAGGGCCAAGUAAUGAGGUAUUC